AUUGACAAGCAGUACAGGGCAUUUCAUGAUGGCUUCUGCAGGAGUGUUAAAAGUAGAAGGCCGGAAGUAAUAUUAAAGUUAUACUUGGCGCUGGUCAGACCUCAUCUAGACUACGCUGUGCAGUUCUGGUCCCCACAUUACAGGAAAGAUAUAGGUCUAUUAGAAUCAGUACAGAGGAGAAUGACUAAAAGGAUUCAGGGGAUGAGGAGUAUUCCUUACGAAGCGAGGUUGAAGCGGUUAAAUUUACAUUCUCUAGAGAGACAUAGGUUAAGAGGGGACCUGAUAGAAGUCUUUAAGUGGUAUAGGGGUUAUAACAAGGGAGAUGUAAGCAAAAUUCUUAGGAUCAGCAACCAAGGUAGAACAAGAAAUAACGGGUUCAAGCUUGAAAAAUUUAGGUUUAGGAAGGAGAUAGGAAAAAAUUGGUUCUCAAAUAGAGUGGUAGAUGAGUGGAACGGACUCAGUAAUCAUGUAGUUAGUGCCAGGACACUAGAGAGCUUUAAGAGAAGAUUAGACAAGUUUAUGGAUGGGGAUAACAGAUGGAAAUAGGUAGGAGUGUUUCAUACAGGGACUGCCACGUGUAAGCCUGGUCGCUUCUUGCAGCUUCCCUUAUUUCUUAUGUUCUUAUGUGUGGGACGGUACUGUGCUCAAACUUUUCCUGCCAAUGGAACGAACUUAAGGACUUGGUCACCGGCAAUGAAAAUUAUUUCUGGACCGAGUUGGAAAAGAAUGCUGAAUAUAAGAUUAAGUUAGGUUGAGGGUGAGUACUUCCCAGACCAUCCAGUCACUCGCACGUGUUGGGAAGUCUUUCGCAAGCUCUCGCUGGAACAGAAAAUGUUUUUAAGUUUCUGACGGGGACUCACCAGGUGUACUAGGCAUGAGAGAGAGAGAGAGAGAGAGAGAGAGAGAGAGAGAGAGAGAGAGAGAGAGAGAGAGAGAGAGAGAGAGAGAGAGAGAGAGAGAGAGAGAGAGAGAGAGAGAGAGAGAGAGAGAGAGAGAGAGAAUUUUUUAUUUAUUUCCUUUGUUCCUUCCUCUUCUCCUUUAUUUCUUCUUUAUCUUUCUAUCUUUCUCUCUCCUCUGUCUUCUUUCUUUCAUUUCUUCUACUCCUUCCUCUUCUAUUUAUUAUCUUCGUUCUAUGUCCUCUUCCUUCUUUGUCUUCUCUCUCUCCUCUUCCUGCCUUCCAUCACUUAUGAAAAUAUUAAAUACAUAUUUUCAACAUAAUAAUAAUAAUGAUGAUGAUAAUAAUAAUAAUAAUAAAAUAAUACAGAUUAAUUCCUCUCACAAACAGUAACUCUCUCUCUCUCUCUCUCUCUCUCUCUCUCUCUCUCUCUCUCUCUCUCUCUCUCUCUCUCUCUCUCUCUCUCUCUCUCUCUCUCUCUCUCUCUCUCUCAUGUGACAGGCUGUGGGGAGCGACUGUGGGUUCGUCAACAUACUGUAGGGGACGUACUAUGGAUCUGUGGGUGAGAGAGAGAGAGAGAGAGAGAGAGAGAGAGAGAGAGAGAGAGAGAGAGAGAGAGAGAGAGAGAGAGAGAGAGAGAGAGAGAGAGGGGCACAUUCUUAUUGGUGAAGGGGACAACUUGUUUUUCAUUUAAAAGCAUUUCUGCACCUCAAUUAUAGCCUCUCUCUCUCUCUCUCUCUCUCUCUCUCUCUCUCUCUCUCUCUCUCUCUCUCUCUCUCUCUCUCUCUCUCUCUCUCUCAAG